AUUGAACGCUGGCGGCAGGCCUAACACAUGCAAGUCGAGCGAGCGGCGGACGGGUGAGUAAUGUAUGGGGACUGCCCGAUAGAGGGGGUUAACUACUGGAAACGGUGGCUAAUACCGCAUACUAUCGGAUAACCCAUAUGGGAUUAGCUAGUAGGUGGGGUAAAGGCUCACCUAGGCCACGAUCUCUAGCUGGUCUGAGCGGAGGAUCAGCCACACUGGGACGUGGACACGGCCCAGACUCCGACGGAGGCAGCAGUGGGGAAUAUUGCACAAUGGGCGCAAGCCUGAUGCAUCCAUGCCGCGUGUAUGAAGAAGGCCUUCGGGUUGUAAAGUACUUGCAGCGAGGAGGCGUUACUCGCAGAAGAAGCACCGGCUAACUCCGUGCCAGCAGCCGCGGUAAUAC
rnacentral:rRNA from 1 species